rnacentral:rRNA from 1 species
GACGUAGGGGGCGAGCGUUGUCCGGAAUUAUUGGGCGUAAAGAGCUCGUAGGCGGUUUGUCGCGUCGGAUGUGAAAGCCCGGGGCUUAACCCCGGGUCUGCAUUCGAUACGGGCAGACUGGAGUGUGGUAGGGGAGAUCGGAAUUCCUGGUGUAGCGGUGAAAUGCGCAGAUAUCAGGAGGAACACCGGUGGCGAAGGCGGAUCUCUGGGCCAUUACUGACGCUGAGGAGCGAAAGCGUGGGGAGCGAACAGG